ensembl:lncRNA
UCAGCUGGCUCCCAGCUGACUCAGAAUCCACAAGAAUAAAUGAUUAUUAUUUUAAGCCACCGAAUUUUGAGGUUGGUUAUGCAGUAUUUUUGUGACAUUAGCUAACUGAUAGACCAUGCCAUAGAAACGCCUGCUAUCAAGAUAAAUAGAUGACUGACGACUGGGAGUCAUGAAAAGGCUCAGGCUCCACCUGCCAAGGGUUGCUCGACUUAGCAAAUAAAAAUACAGGACCCAGAUAAAUGUAAAUUUCAGAAAAUCAUCAAAUAAUUUUUUAGUAUAGGUAUGUCCCACGCAACAUUUCGGAAAUACUUACACUAAACAAUUAAUGCUUAUUUGAAUUACACACUUAACUGGCAUCCUCUAUUUUAUCUGGCAAUUCUAUUCUGGUAGAUUUCCAAGAGUCGCACUCUGCAGAAAGCACCUAUGCGUAAAAAUGGGCCUGAGCUAGAGAAUCAGAGAUGAAAACAGGAAGUCAUCUCCUCUACCCUCCAUCAGGCUUUAAGUCUCUGAGGCAGACUUUCCUAGAGGGACUGAGUCAGAGAAAAAGCUGCCUAAAAUGUUAAGAAAGUGCAGGCUUGCCAGUGGUUGGGAGAAGUCUCUUUCAGCUUUAUUAUUUAACCACCUUAAAAUCGGCGGUGCAUCAGGGAGCCCUGUCUUCCCUGGUUUCGGCAGCCUGUGGUUCCACAGAGAGCAUCCCUCCAAACCAUCUGAAUCCUGCAUCCCUUUCACUGGAUCCAAGAAGCGUUUCCUGGGUUACUGCACCAUCUGUCUCUGAGGUACCUGCAAGGGAAAGACACUGUGGGGGUGGCGAGAAAGGGACUGCAGACGGCCCAGGAGGGGACUGUGCAGGGACUGUUUGUCAAGGAGUCGGGCCAGCUAAUGAGUGACCAGUGAAGCCAGGGGGCUGGAUGAAAUCGGAGAGAAGAAAUCGAACACCACGGAGGUGAGAGUGCAGAAGAGCUACCACGUGGGAACUCAGUCCGCCCUCCACCUUCAUCUGUCUCUUUAGCAGAUUCGGACAAGCCACUGUUUUUGGCUUUGCACAGACUAGUUGGCUGUUUUCAUGAAUAAUCUCCAACUCAAUCCGGGAAGAAAUUCCACGCUGUCCGCCAGCAGCACAGAUUGUUGCAGGAAAAAUGACACAACUUCAUCCUCUGGGCAAACUUGAAAAUUAUUACAAAUUUCCCCAUCUCUCCUCCACUUGCACAGCUGGCUGUAGAAGGGUGUCAGUUUUUCCAUGGAGAUAGGAGACUUUUUCUCCGUGUGAUUUCUCGUGAUCAGACAAAUCCCUAUGGCCCUUUGUUUACUUUCAUCCUGGGUCCCUUUCCCCUGACACUGAGGUAGAAGCUGUGCAGGCUCUGCUCCUGAGCACUUCUCAGGACUCAGGUAGCAAGCUCGCCUACGCAUGGCCUUGGUGCAAAGAUGGAUUCCAGAAAGGGACACCGACCAGCUAAAAUUCUGCACCUCCAGAUAAAUGACACCAUGAAAACCAAAUGUGCAUAAUGUGGUCAUCAGGGCAGCACAGUUUUGACAUAAACCACAUCCAGCUUGUCUGAGGACCAGGGUUGACCUAACCACCGAUAACUCUGUCUGUGACCGCUGACAGUACUAGAACUCAGCUUUUUCCAGGUAUGCAGGCUCCCACUCACAUGUUGCUUGUAGAUUUCAUAGACUCUCUCCCACUUGGAUCCAAUUCAGUGAAUAAUUCUUGAAUCCCUAUGGCGCUCAUCACACCGUGCUAGGCUCCAGGGGAAUACAAUAAUUAAUAAGGGUCUAGCUUCAGGCAUUUUGCUGUUUGGAAGGAAAAGAGAUCUACAAAUCGCUAUAAAUGUGAGAAGAGACUAAAAAGGACCUGCACGGUUGUAGCGACCAUGGAAGGAGGGGAUAUGGAGAGAUGGUCCUUGGCAGGGAAGGCCUAGGUGUUCUCAUGGAGGAGGCAGCAUUUGAGCAGGGCCAUAAAGGGCUUUAGCGAUGGCCUCUGGGAGGUCAGGAAAGGCACCAGGAUGAGCAAAGGUGUGGAGGGAGGGUGACCGCUAAGCACAGGGUUUGUAGGGAGAAGAAAGAUAAGUCAGAUUUUAGUGUGAGAUGAGGGGUCAGAGCCUCAGAAGCACUUCCUCGGAGGAGCACCCAGAGUUUGAUUUGUGUCCCCAACUGGACUCCCGAUGCUGGUGGGGCCUCCAUCCGACAGUGCACAGUCCAUUGCCCAACUUUUCCCCUCUUAUUCAGAACGCUGGAUUCAAAAAUAGUUUCCCCUGAUAGCUUAAAGGAUGGACCUGACGUGUACCAAUGUUAAGUUAUAAUCACGAUUCUUCAGGCUGUUUCUUUAGAAGACCUCAAGUAGUUGCAAGCUCCAGCUGUCUCUGCUGAAAAAGAGAAAGUCAAUUCUCCCUGUUGCAAAAACUUUUGGAGCAGCAGGAAACCAACCUGUCAACUGAAAUUGAUUUAUUCACUCGACUGGAAUGACCCGACCCACUUGACACAUCUGAGAGGGGGCAGUUUACUUUCAUUCAACCCACAGAUUCGGGCUGAUCAUCAUGCAAUAACGAAACAUUUGCCUGAGCAAGUCAGGGUAGAAAUGACCAUGCCCACUUAAUGGAGAAAAUGAAGCACAAAUUUCACAGUCACCCAAGAGAGAUACUCACUUCUAGCCUAGUAAUAUGCUCACCAGAUCAUCCCGAUGGUUUCCUUAGGUGUAGGAUGAAUUCCAGGCUUCCUUUGCAUCUCUAUGUGUCUUUUUCCCUUAAUCAGAAAGCCAAAUGCUAGAGCUUCUUUACCACCACAGGAAAGAGAAAUCUAGGUUUGCAAUUUUUCCUCCCACUUAUUCCUAAAUAUCUGGUAGCCUCUCUUUUCUUCACAACAGUCCCUUUCAACCUCUCUUGCUCUUGUUUAGAAUAAUUCUUUGUAAGUUCUGUCUGCGUCUACAGCUUGCAGGCUGAGGAAGAGCUCAGAGCCCUGACAAGCUAAGUUUGAUUCUAUGACAAGCUGGCUGCAGGCAUUUGGUCCAUGAGGAAAUGACAUGUGCAACCAUGUUAGCUUCCAAAACUUCCACCUGGCCUUGAUCACCCAGGGUCUCCAGACACUCGUGUGUGUUGAUCUUGGGAUGCAAAACAGCUGCUGGCCUCUGAGGCGUCUCGGUAACUAUGGAGACAGGAACAUAAACAUCAAUGAGGAUGUCAGGAAGCAGGCAGCCGGUGUUAGGAGUGAAAGCAUCGGCGAGGCUGAUCUGGCAUUGGCGGCAUGUGCUGCAAAUGAUGAAAACAGGAUUCCAAGGCCUCUCUGCUAUCAGGCGGGAUGGCUGUAGCUUUAAAGUGGGGCACCUCUGCUCUCCCUCCUUUUCAUUCAGUUGCUUAGAUAUUCAUUUGUUUAUUGCACAAAUAUGUCCUGAGGGGCUGCUACGUGCAAGACACAGUGUAGGCAGUGGAGAUAGAGGCGAAGAAGGCAGAGUCCCUGUCCUCACAGAGCUUCCCAGGAUAGGAGACUUUCAAGCUAAAACUGGGACAGUCCUGGGGACACUUGGACAAGUUGGUCACCCUACUGAGGGGACAGACCAUUAAGUAUGCAUAUAAAUACGAUGAAGAAACUGAGGCACGAGGAGGCGUGAGAACUCUCCCACCUUCACAGAGCCAAUGGUGGCAGAGAAUCAGCCUUCAAGCCCAGGUGGUCCAGCUCCAGAGAGAGGCAGAAGGAGUUUUGACAUAGACCCACACAGAUGUGACGUGAUGAAGCGAUAUGAUCUCUGUGAAGUGACGUGAAGACAGAGGCAGAGACCGGAGUGAUGCAGCCACAAGCCAAGGAACACCUGCCACCACCAGACAGGCAAGGAGACUCCACAGUGCCUCCGUAGGAAGUGCGGCCCUGCUGAUAGCUUGAGUUCAGACUCCUGGGCUCCAGAACUGGGAGAGAAUAAA